rnacentral:rRNA from 1 species
UGGCACGGGGGGACGGGGUGCAACAGGCGCGAAACCUUUACAAUGCACGCAAGUGCGAUAAGGGAAUCCUAAGUGCUUUGCUUUAGCAAGGCUUUUGCCAGGCGUAAAACCCUUGGCGAAUAAGUGGUGGGCAAGACUGGUGCCAGCCGCCGCGGUAACACCAGCGCCACAAGUGGGAACCGUUUUUAUUGGGUCUAAAGCGUCCGUAGCCGGUUUAGUUAGUCUCUUGUGAAAUCAUUGGGCUGAACCUAAUGGCGUGCUUGAGAUACUGCUAGACUAGGGACUUGGAGGAGUCAGAAGUAUUUCUGGGGGAGCGGUAAAAUGUUAUAAUCCCAGAAAGACUACCUGUGGCGAAAGCGUCUGACUAGAACAGAUCCGACGGUGAGGGACGAAAGCCAGGGGAGCAAUCCGGAUUAGAUACCCGAGUAGUCCUGGCCAUAAACGUUGCGAGCUAGGUGUUGCAUAUUCUUCGUGAAUGUGCAGUGUCGUAAUGAAGAUGUUAAGCUCGCCACCUGGGAAGUAUGGUCGCAAGACUGAAACUUAAAGGAAUUGGCGGGGGAGCACUACAAGGGGUGCGGCGUGCGGUUUAAUCUAACUCAACGCAGAGAAUCUCACCAGAAGCGACGGCAGGAUGAAGGUCAGUCUGAAGGGCUUACCCAACGAGCCGAGAGGUAGUGCAUGGCCGUCGUCAGCUCGUGCCGUAAGGUGUCCUGUUAAGUCAGGCAACGAGCGAGACCUGUACUCACAAUUGCUAACGAGCAGUUAUGUGAUCGAGCACAUUGUGGGGACUGCUCUCGAAAGGGAGAGGAAGGUGCAGGCUACGGUAGGUCUGUAUGCUCCGAAUCUUCUGGGCUACACGCGCGCAACAAUGGUAGUGACAAUAGGAUGCGACUCUGAAAAGAGAAGCUAAUCCCCGAAACACUAUCUUAGUUCAGAUUGUGGAUUGUAAUUCAUCCACAUGACGCUGGAAUCCCUAGUAAUCGGAAUUCAACAUAUUCCGGUGAAUAUGUCCCUGCUCCUUGCACGAAUUCGCCGA